rnacentral:rRNA from 1 species
GAAGUAGGUCCCAAGGGUAUGGCUGUUCGCCAUUUAAAGUGGUACGCGAGCUGGGUUUAGAACGUCGUGAGACAGUUCGGUCCCUAUCUGCCGUGGGCGCUGGAGAAUUGAGGGGGGCUGCUCCUAGUACGAGAGGACCGGAGUGGACGCAUCACUGGUGUUCGGGUUGUCAUGCCAAUGGCAUUGCCCGGUAGCUAAAUGCGGAAGAGAUAACCGCUGAAAGCAUCUAAGCACGAAACUUGCCCCGAGAUGAGUCCUCCCUGACGCCUUAAGAGACCUAAAGGAACGUUGAAGACGACGACGUUGAUAGGCCGGGUGUGUAAGCGCAGCGAUACGUUGAGCUAACCAGUACUAAUGAACCGUGAGG